CGGCCUUGGGCCAUGGCGGCGAGUGCGACGGCCUAGGGCCCAGCACGAGCAGGGGCCCAUACCCUAUGCGUGCAUACAAUACACAGUAUAUUCAUAGAAAGAAAAAUUAUACGCAGGACAAACAGCCCAGCCCAUGAAGAAGCGAGCAGCAACGCACGAACGAAGCCAACAAUCCCGUUCGCUCCCAGUCCCAGAAACACGCCGCCAGCCGCCAACUCAUCGUCUCCCUCUCGUUCUCAUCCUCUUCCCCAAAUCCAAUUGAUUGCCCCGAGUUCCUAUGAGGCCAGAACCCCAACUCCCCAAGCUAAUCAAUGAAUUGUUCAUUAGUAUCACACUUCAGUGUAUUUCUUUGCAUCCUACAAAUACCCCAAGGGCCCCGGCGAACGGAUCCAGAGAGGCGAGCCGGCCAGCGACGACACACCCUGUGCCCUGGCAGGAACACGGAGAGUAGCAGCCGGCAGACGGUCAUCGAUAGUUGGGGCUGUGGUCCGCCUGUCCGGCAGUGGAGAGCGGAGACGUGGAGUCCAGGCAACUCCUCUGUGGAGCAGCGUUGGAUUUCUUCUAUUUGCUCCAAGAGACCAAGAACAGGAUUCGUGAAGACAAGAAUUCAGGUGUUCUCUCUCCUUUUAACUGUUCCUUUUUCAAAACUUAAAUCACUAAAGAACUAUUUGAGAUCAACCAUGUCACUAGAUAGAUUGAAUGGCUUGGCCAUGGUGCUUUAUUGAGAAAGAUACGUCGGAUAACAUUGAUCUUGACACUAUUAUUAGUGAUUUUCCAUCCAGAAAUACUCGAAGGUGUCGUUUUUCUUGAGUAUGCCAUUCACUUCUUUUUUGUGUAUUUGUCAGGUGGCUCCUGAUAUUUGCUGAUGCGCGUUUGUGGUUGGACUGGUAGAGUUGGAAUUGUAGCUUCUAUCGAAUUGGAUCAAGAAUUUGAGAACAAUGUCACAUAUAUAUUUAGUUAAGAAUUAAGACAGGACUUCUAGGUUGUUGGAGCGUGUAUCCUAAUAAUCCUAUAAUCAUCUGAUAUAUCCGUGGACCGUGGUGUAUUAAGACCAUAUGUGCUAGUGAAUUUUACUUUUA